rnacentral:rRNA from 1 species
AUUGAACGCUGGCGGCAGGCCUAACACAUGCAAGUCGAACGGUAACAGGAAGCAGCUUGCUGCUUUGCUGACGAGUGGCGGUCGGGUGAGUAAUGUCUGGGAAACUGCCCGAUGGAGGGGGAUAACUACUGGAAACGGUAGCUAAUACCGCAUAACGUCGCAAGACCAAAGAGGGGGACCUUAGGGCCUCUUGCCAUCGGAUGUGCCCAGAUGGGAUUAGCUAGUAGGUGGGGUAACGGCUCACCUAGGCGACGAUCCCUAGCUGGUCUGAGAGGAUGACCAGCCACACUGGAACUGAGACACGGUCCAGACUCCUACGGGAGGCAGCAGUGGGGAAUAUUGCACAAUGGGCGCAAGCCUGAUGCAGCCAUGCCGCGUGUAUGAAGAAGGCCUUCGGGUUGUAAAGUACUUUCAGCGGGGAGGAAGGGAGUAAAGUUAAUACCUUUGCUCAUUGACGUUACCCGCAGAAGAAGCACCGGCUAACUCCGUG